rnacentral:rRNA from 1 species
AUACGGAGGACGCGAGCGUUAUCCGGAUUCAUUGGGUUUAAAGGGUGCGCAGGCGGGAGAUUAAGUCGGUGGUGAAAUUUUGCAGCUUAACUGUAACAGUGCCAUUGAUACUGGUUUUCUUGAGUGUGGAUGAAGUAGGCGGAAUUUGUGGUGUAGCGGUGAAAUGCAUAGAUAUCACGAGGAACUCCGAUCGCGUAGGCAGGUUACUAAACCAUAACUGACGCUCAUGCACGAAGGCGUGGGGAUCAAACAGGAUUAGAUACCCUGGUAGUCCACGCUGUAAACGAUGAUUACUGGCUGUUUGCGAUACACAGUAAGCGGCCCAGCGAAAGCGAUAAGUAAUCCACCUGGGGAGUACGUUCGCAAGAAUGAAACUCAAGGGAAUUGACGGGG